GAUGAACGCUGGCGGCGUGCCUAAUACAUGCAAGUCGAGCGAACGGACGAGGAGCUUGCUCCUCUGACGUUAGCGGCGGACGGGUGAGUAACACGUGGAUAACCUACCUAUAAGACUGGGAUAGCUUCGGGAAACCGGAGCUAAUACCGGAUAAUAUUUUGAACCGCAUGGUUCAAAAGUGAAAGACGGUCUUGCUGUCACUUAUAGAUGGAUCCGCGCUGCAUUAGCUAGUUGGUAAGGUAACGGCUUACCAAGGCAACGAUGCAUAGCCGACCUGAGAGGGUGAUUGGCCAAACUGGAACUGAGACACGGUCCAGACUCCUAAGGGAGGCAGCAGGAGGGAAUUUUCCGCAAUGGGCGAAAGCCUGACGGAGCAACGCCGCGUGAGUGAUGAAGGUCUUCGGAUCGUAAAACUCUGGUAUUAGGGAAGAACAAAUGUGUAAGUAACUGUGCACAUCUUGACGGUACCUAAUCAGAAAGCCACGGCUAACUACGUG
rnacentral:rRNA from 1 species